AACGGCGAGUGAAGCGGCAACAGCUCAAAUUUGAAAUCUGGCUCUUUCAGGGUCCGAGUUGUAAUUUGUAGAAGAUGCUUCGGGGGUGGGUCCGGUCUAAGUUCCUUGGAACAGGACGUCAUAGAGGGUGAGAAUCCCGUAUGUGACUGGUUGCCUUCGCCCAUGUGAAGCUCUUUUGACGAGUCGAGUUGUUUGGGAAUGCAGCUCAAAAUGGGUGGUAAAUUUCAUCUAAAGCUAAAUAUUGGCCAGAGACCGAUAGCGCACAAGUAGAGUGAUCGAAAGAUGAAAAGCACUUUGGAAAGAGAGUUAAACAGUACGUGAAAUUGUUGAAAGGGAAGCGCUUGCAACCAGACUUGCGCGUGGUUGAUCAUCCGGGGUUCUCCCCGGUGCACUCGAUCACGCUCAGGCCAGCAUCGGUUUGGGUGGUUGGAUAAAGGCCUUGGGAAUGUGGCUUCCUUCGGGGAGUGUUAUAGCCCUCGGUGCAAUGCAGCCUACCCGGACCGAGGACCGCGC
rnacentral:rRNA from 1 species